AUUGAACGCUGGUGGCAGGCCUAUCACAUGCAAGUUGUGCGCCGCGGCUGUCCGGUGAGUAAUGCCUAGGAAUCUGCCUGGUAGUGGGGGAUAAAGUCCGGUAACGUUCUUUAUUAUCGAAUACUAUCUGAUGCGCCUAGGUCGGAUUAGCUUGUUGGUGGGGUAACGGCCUACCAAGGCGACGAUCCGUAACUGGUCUGAGAGGAUGAUCAGUCAAACUGGAACUGAGACACGGUCCAGACUCCUACGGAAGGCAGCAGUGGGGAAGAGUGGACAAUGGGCGACAGCCUGAUCCAGCCAUGCCGCGUGUGUGAAGAAGGUCUUCGGAUUGUAAAGCACUUUAAGUUGGGAGGCGUUACCAACAGAAUUCGGACCGGCUAACUUCGUGCCAGCAGCCGCGGUAAUUC
rnacentral:rRNA from 1 species